rnacentral:tRNA from 1 species
GCCGAAGUGGUGAAACUGGUAUACACGCAUGCUUCAGGUGCAUGUACUCGCAAGAGUGUGAGGGUUCGAGUCCCUCUUUCGGCA